rnacentral:lncRNA from 1 species
UCGUCAUCUCUGGUAUUUAAUAGAGAUGAGUGUCGUGACUCACUGGACUGAGCCUAGGGCAAACUUCUUUAGCAGCGUCUCCGUCUGUCACAGCCCAGCCCUCCCCACAAUGGGAGGAGGCAGACCAACCCUUGGUGUCGCAGUAAGCAGAAUACAGGGAUUCGCUCACCUGGUGAGCCCCCUAGAGUGCAGUGGGGAGUCACUGCCUCUGUCCACUCAGCCGCAGAGAGAGCUCAGUUUUGCAGUUCUGGUUGGGGAGUGGUUGCUGGGAAGGUUCAGCUACUGUUACUGAUAAAGAAGUGGGAAAUGGUGCACAGAGCAGCAGCACCGUAGUAAAGGACAGUACCCUAUUGCAGUCCCAGGGACAGGAGCACCUGCGUCUGCACAGUGGAUUUGUUCUUUUUGCCUCAUGAUGUCACGAGCGUGAAGGCCCUGGUGACUCCAGUGCGCAUGGUGAGGCUCUGUGAAUUUGAGAGCCGCCUUCACUUCGUUCAUUUGACCUUUUCAUGUGUAAAGUUUAAAAUAGUCCUGAUAGGAUUCCUAAAAAUUCAGAGUAAAUUAAAAAAAAAAAAAAAAA